rnacentral:rRNA from 1 species
GAUGAACGCUAGCUACAGGCUUAACACAUGCAAGUCGAGGGGUAACGAGAGGAAAGCUUGCUUUCCUUGUCGACGACCGGCGCACGGGUGAGUAACGCGUAUCCAACCUGCCCCCAACUAAGGAAUAACCUUGCGAAAGUAAGACUAAUACCUUAUAAUUUCCUCAGAUGUCAUCUGACGAGGAAUAAAGAUUUAUCGGUUGUGGAUGGGGAUGCGUCUGAUUAGCUUGUUGGCGGGGUAACGGCCCACCAAGGCAACGAUCAGUAGGGGUUCUGAGAGGAAGGUCCCCCACAUUGGAGCGGAGACACGGUCCAAACUCCUACGGGAGGCAGCAGUGAGGAAUAUUGGUCAAUGGGCGAAAGCCUGAACCAGCCAAGUAGCGUGCAGGAUGACGGCCCUAUGGGUUGUAAACUGCUUUUAUACAGGAAUAAAGUUAGCCACGUGUGGUUAUUUGUAGGUACUGUAUGAAUAAGGACCGGCUAAUUCCGUGCCAGCCGCCGCGGUAA